GCCGCCGCUACCGUUACCGCUACCGCUACCGCUCUGCAACCACCCCCAAUCCCCCAGCAGACGCAUAGGGGGCGUGUACGAGCCCCCGUGCCUCUUCCUUCCGCUCUGCACUGCUUCGUUCCGUGCCUUACCGUACUACACACACACACACACGCAAACACACACAUCCUGCCUGCCUGCGAGCCAUUCUGCCAACACCAGCCCUGCCAACCACCAACCCUGCCAACCGACCCUGCCACUCCUCGCUACGUCUAUCUCUUUCUUUCUCCCUCUCUUUACUUUCCCCUUCUCUCUCUCUCUCUCUCUGUCUUUCUGUGUCUGUGUGUGCGUGUGUGUUUUUUCUUUUCUCUCUUUUUCUUUCUAACUUUCUUGCCUUUUGCAAGAAGACGAACCACGUGUGCGAGGCUGCUUUUCAUGGCUAGACGAGCUCUCGAUGUCAUCGUUGCCGACGACACUGACGACGAUGAAGGAGCUGACCCGAUGGAUAAGGAGGAGAAGGAGGAGAGGAGGAGGUGGGAAUAAGGUCAGGACUAGUGGACACGGAGGAUCGUGUCUAGCUUUGUGCUUCAAGUUUGAGGUGUCUGGUCUACGUUAAUCUAUUCGAGAUGUUAUGAUAGAUGGUAGGUGUUUGUUUUUUUUUUAUUUUUUUACUAUGUGACCGAACAGGUGAAAAUGAGGAACGUUUAUUAAUUCAAUUCUCAAUAUGUUGGUGUACACUUGUGCAAAUAUCCGACUAUAAAUGCAUUACUUUCUAAGAAAUCUAUAAACUAUUAUGUUGAUAUAGAAAUAAGCUAAUAAUAUGGGUAAUGAUAAUACUCAAUAAAUGUGUUGUUCAAUAAUCGUUUCAUAGAAAUAUUAUGAAAAUAUAUAUCUAAGGAGAUAAAAUAAACUAAUCGGAUUAAUAAUGACAGAGAGAGAGGGAGAGAGAGAAGUCGAGUGAAAGAUGAGUUAUUGUUUAAAAAGCAUGUAAAAGGACAUAACGCACGGGGUCGUGGCAGGCACCUGUCUUCGGAAGUACACGCUUCUGGCAUAAUGGAGAAAGCAACUGAGAAAGAGAGGGG